AAUGCAGAGCUAAUGGAAGUUAGCAGAACUGAGUUCAUGACUCCCUCUGCAUUUAUCUUUCUCUACGAGAACCAGUUGUUCUUAACUUUCAGAAAUAGAACUGUUGCAGUAUGGAAUUUUCGUGGGGAGCUUGUAACUUCAUUUGAGGAUCACCUGUUAUGGCAUCCUGACUGUAACACAAAUAACAUAUAUAUAACAAGUGAUCAGGAUCUUAUUAUUUCUUACUGCAAAGCUGAAUCUGAGGACCAGUGGAUGGAAGGAAAUGCUGGUUCUAUCAAUGUCAGCAACAUCUUGACAGGUAAGUGCUUGGCCAAAAUAAACGCAAGCAAUGGCAAUCCGAAACGUGAUGAGUGCAGUGGCAGUAGCUCUAAGCGCAGUCAUUCACCUAUCAGAAGUACAGUUGCAGAGGCUUUGGAAGACAUAACUGCACUUUUCUAUGACGAAGAGCGGAAUGAGAUCUACACUGGUAAUAGGCAUGGUUUGGUUCAUGUGUGGUCCAACUGAAGUUAAUAGCAUGUUCCAUUGUCAUCAAUAGAUGAAUAUGCUACUUAAGGAUAUUCUGUCAUGCCUGCAAUGAGAUCUACACAGUUAAUAAUCUGGAUCACGAUUCGUAAAUUCAAGAGCAGGUUUCAUCAUUUCAAUCUAGUUGCUAUGAUUUCCCCUACCAGAGGAUGUUGGGUCGUGCCUGCACGCUACUUCAGCAGAUUGGAUGACUUAAGCACACUUUCUUGUUUAAUUGCAUCAGAGUGAAUUGUAUCAUUAGAUAUUUUUAGCUUCUUGUGUAGCUAUUUGUAGAUCUACUUUUGGGAGUUCUUUAGGAUGUCUGAUUGAGAUGCAAAAGAAGGCUUAAAUUUGUUGACUUGUUAAGAUUUUUCAAGACUACGCAACAUUAAUUGAUAUUCUUUUGUAUCUCAAUCAGACAUCCUA
rnacentral:misc_RNA from 1 species